AGCGAACGCUGGCGGCAGGCUUAACACAUGCAAGUCGAGCGGACCUUUCGGGGUCAGCGGCGGACGGGUGAGUAACGCGUGGGAACGUGCCUUCCGGUUCGGAAUAACCCUGGGAAACUAGGGCUAAUACCGGAUACGCCCUUAUGGGGAAAGGUUUACUGCCGGAAGAUCGGCCCGCGUCUGAUUAGCUAGUUGGUGGGGUAACGGCCUACCAAGGCGACGAUCAGUAGCUGGUCUGAGAGGAUGAUCAGCCACACUGGGACUGAGACACGGCCCAGACUCCUACGGGAGGCAGCAGUGGGGAAUAUUGGACAAUGGGCGCAACUUGAUCCAGCCAUGCCGCGUGAGUGAUGAAGGCCUUAGGGUUGUAAAGCUCUUUUAUCCGGGACGAUAAUGACGGUACCGGAGGAAUAAGCCCCGGCUAACUUCGUGC
rnacentral:rRNA from 1 species